UGGGGAAUAUUGGACAAUGGGGGGAACCCUGAUCCAGCCAUGCCGCGUGUGUGAAGAAGGCCUUAUGGUUGUAAAGCACUUUAAGCGAGGAGGAGGCUCUUUUGGUUAAUACCCAAGAUGAGUGGACGUUACUCGCAGAAUAAGCACCGGCUAACUCUGUGCCAGCAGCCGCGGUAAUACAGAGGGUGCGAGCGUUAAUCGGAUUUACUGGGCGUAAAGCGUGCGUAGGCGGCUUUUUAAGUCGGAUGUGAAAUCCCCGAGCUUAACUUGGGAAUUGCAUUCGAUACUGGGAAGCUAGAGUAUGGGAGAGGAUGGUAGAAUUCCAGGUGUAGCGGUGAAAUGCGUAGAGAUCUGGAGGAAUACCGAUGGCGAAGGCAGCCAUCUGGCCUAACACUGACGCUGAGGUACGAAAGCAUGGGGAGCAAACAGG
rnacentral:rRNA from 1 species